rnacentral:rRNA from 1 species
GACGAACGCUGGCGGCGUGCUUAACACAUGCAAGUCGAACGGAAAGGCCCUGCUUUUGUGGGGUGCUCGAGUGGCGAAUGGGUGAGUAACAAGUGAGUAACCUGCCCUUGACUUUGGGAUAACUUCAGGAAACUGGGGCUAAUACCGGAUAGGAGCUCCUGCUGCAUGGUGGGGGUUGGAAAGUUUCGGCGGUUGGGGAUGGACUCGCGGCUUAUCAGCUUGUUGGUGGGGUAGUGGCUUACCAAGGCUUUGACGGGUAGCCGGCCUGAGAGGGUGACCGGCCACAUUGGGACUGAGAUACGGCCCAGACUCCUACGGGAGGCAGCAGUGGGGAAUAUUGCACAAUGGGCGGAAGCCUGAUGCAGCAACGCCGCGUGCGGGAUGACGGCCUUCGGGUUGUAAACCGCUUUCGCCUGUGACGAAGCGUGAGUGACGGUAAUGGGUAAAGAAGCACCGGCUAACUACGUG